AAUUUAGCUGAUAAAGCCGUCAUUGCCGGGAGUAAUUAAUUAAAACGGUUUCCAAAAGAGGCUUGUUUAACAAAUAGAAAACACCCGAUAUUUCCUUCAUUUAAAAAGUUUACUUUACGCUCUGCUUUUCGCUCUUAAUUACAAAUACAGAAGCAAACGAGAAAGUCCAGCCGUUUUGAUGUUUAUUUAGCUGUGUGACUGGUUAUUCACCACACAUUAAGUAUGGUAGGAAUAGCACUGUCUCAAUUACAUUUCUUUUUUACACAUGCGUUUUACACAUGCGACGCAUGUGUCUUAUAGCUGACCUGUGUACGGAAAAUACGCGAGCAAUCAGUUAUAGUUUAGCGAGGAAAACAAUCAUACAAUCAAACACAGGGGCUUGCCAUACAGCCACGGUCCUUUUAACUCGUUUUAGACACUUUGAUUGCUUAUGCAUGGAAUCACUUCUGCGCACACGAGCUUGUAAUCUUAUGCCCUGGAAAGAAGCUCUGCUGCUACUUCAGAAAACGCCUGGUGCACCUGUCAAAAAUACUGCAAAUGCAGCAGGGCGGCUUGACGUUACAUGCCUUCGCUUUCCGUCCUUCACAAACAGCCAAUUUCUCCAAAGGCGCAUCAACUCACUGGUGCGCAAUAGACGCGGACGUUUCGCACGUUUUCACCCCCUCGCGUAAACAAUUUGCAUCUACAGGGUAAAUCUUGCGAAAAGAAGCAGGCUGCCCACCAGCAUUACUCCGGACCUCACGACGACAAAGGGGGCCAGAUGUAACAGCAUGCGCAGCUCUGGCUUCUCCUGCCAGCGCCUCCCCGUCAAUGUGAUCUUUCAAUAAACACCCCCGUCCGGUACUUUGCCCAUCGGUAUCCCCGCUGUGCGUCUUCGUUGCUCAGAAACAGCGCAUCACAGACUGGUUUUCCUCUUCGCCCACGGAGGAAGGAUAGUAGUCUGAUUCUCCCGAUGUCUUCAGUAUCGUCCUGGUUGUGAUACACCACCUUCCCCGAUACAAAUUUCUUGCGAACAAAUUGUAGUAAAGGAACAUCU